UACAGAGGUCCCAAGCGUUGUUCGGAUUCACUGGGCGUAAAGGGUGCGUAGGUGGUCGGGUAAGUCUGAUGUGAAAUCUCUGGGCUCAACCCAGAAACUGCAUUGGAUACUAUUCGGCUAGAGGAGUGGAGGGGGGACUGGAAUUCUUGGUGUAGCAGUGAAAUGCGUAGAUAUCAAGUGGAACACCAGUGGCGAAGGCGAGUCCCUGGAACGGUACUGACGCUGAGACGCGAAAGCGUGGGGAGCGAACAGG
rnacentral:rRNA from 1 species